UUGCAGACAUUGCAGAGCCCUCC
rnacentral:misc_RNA from 1 species